UACAUACAUCUAAAGCAGAAAGCCGGAAAUCCCUGUUCAUAAGGACUGUUAAUUUUAGUGAACAGUAAACCGACGCUUUUGCCCUUUUUUUUGUUCUGAAUUACAGUUUGCCAUUUUUUUUGCAUUCUGGUUGGUUUGGUUGGUUUCCACGUGGCUCUGUUUGCGUGCUCCACGAAGAGAGAGAUCAAGAAGGCUCGAGAGAGCCAGACAGGUGAAGAAGGAUCGAGACUCGGGAGUGUGAGGUGUGUUUCUUAGCUUUCCGCAAAGAGAGAGAAAGCGAAAGAGAGAGAAAGCACAGUCGAAACAGUCGAAGCCUCUAUUGACCGUAGCCGUGGAACCCAGAUAACUCUCUUCACUGUUUCACAGUAUCAGGUGCAUCGAUCAAGCUCGCAGAUACGAAGGUUGUUGGGCUGAUAACGAGUUGUAAAGAUUUUGAUCAUAGAUCGCCGGCAUGGGAAGAAGAAGAGGAGAGAUUCAAGAUUUUGGUGGCCUUUUGGAGCAAGGUUUCGGUUUGUUUCGGAAGGUUUGGGAGGAAGCUUUCAAUAGGUUGCAGAAAACAAAAGAAGUGUUGCUGGGUUUCGGGUUUCAGUGAUUGAUUUGGAGUGGUUGAAGAAAACAGAAGAAGUGUUGCUGGGUUUGGGAUUUCAGUGAUUGAAGUGCCAGCGCGAGCCCAGCCGGUCGUGGCUGAAAAGACUAUUUUGUCCCUGUGUCAGCUCUCUCUUGCCCGACACCUGUUUGCCUGCUCUGAUCCCCGUGUCUUUCUUCUUCGCUUCACAGAGAGGGAGAGAGUGGAGGGAAUUCAUUUUCUUGGACCACCAACCCUCGGUGUGUGUUUUUCUUGCUUCGACACCUGGGGUGGUUCUCAGUAUCGUGUCUAUAAUACCUCGCUCCACUGAGAGGUGUUUCUGGGUUAUUGGCUUAACCUUGAGGUGGAGGUGUGUUGAGAAAGGCAGGAGAGCUGCUGAGGUGUGGCUUCAAACAUCCAAUUCCAGAGUUAUUGUUCAUGCUUGGAGACAUAGAUUGCUUCUACGUUCAAGGUUUCAUAUGCUACUGUUGUAAGAAAUUGGUCUCCAAGGUCUGAAGAGAAGGAGAAGGUUGAAUCUGUAAAUCAAGAUUCUCGGAACAGUGUGCUGUCGAAUUUGUCAAGCGUUUUGGAUUCAGGUAAAUGAUUAUUCUGUCUUUAAUUGGAAUUUAAUUGAUUAUUCUGUCUUUGGUUUUUAAGUUCAAACUGUUUGACUCAGUUGUUCAUAAGUUGUAUCUAUGUUUGUUAGUUGUUUAUAUUUACUUUGCUUGAAGAGAGUUAUGGUACAAAUUCAACUUUGGUUACAGAGAACAGAAAAGCAAAUUAGGUACUGCAAAAUCCUCAUUAAGAAGGGAACAUAUCAACCAAAGCAAAAGGAGCAAACAAAUCAUGAGGAUAAAUGUUUUCAUCCGUGCGUGCAAGGAUAAGAAAGAGUUUGACAUUUUCAUUGGAAUAGCAUUUGAACAGUUUUAUACUUUCGUUGAAAUAGAAGCAGUAAGCUUUGUCUAUGACAUUUAACAGUUGUUUAUUCUGUAAAAUUUGUCUAUAAUCUGUUAACAAAACCUCCAUCUUCAAUUUGCUGUUACAAUUGUUGGUACUUUUGCAGACCCAAGUAACAAUAAGAAAGUAUUGAUAGGCUCCCUCACACUUCUGGCAUAUGAAUUAGAUAUUCUUUAGUUUGUUUAUGAGUUAGAUAUGAACAAUAUGUGAUGCUAGAUUUCCUUUGGAUGGUUUUGGUUUUGGUGUUGUUUUUUUUUUUUUUUGGGGUCAAAUUUGCUUGGUUUUAGUCACGAAUCCAUUUUUAGUUAAUACUCACAUGAUGCUCUUCUUAAGGUGAGAAACAUAGAUUUCAAGAAUCAGAAACAGGGAACUAAUGUUAUUUUGGAUAGAGGAUCAGCAAUCUGAAUAUGCAGAGUUUCUAUAUUGCCUGUGCGCCAUUUCCUAAAUCACCUUAGAUUAUGUGUGCUGCAUUAUUUAUAAUCCCGAUUUUCCAUUUGUGAACUGUUGAACAAUUGUUGCUGCUGCUUGCACUGUUUGUUCCUUUUGAAGAUCCUGAAAAAUAAUCUCUUUGCAUCUUUAUUCUGGGUUGUCAGUGUUAUUAUGCAGACAGUUGACUUCUCAACUUUUAUAUAUAUAUAUAUAUAUAUAUAUAUAUAUAUAUAUUGAUGUUUAAUUAUAAACUUCGAGAUACAGUCUGAUCCUUCUUUGUUUGGAUUUUAAUUUUUGAAAUUUUGGUUAUUAUCUUUGUUUGGUAUCCCAUGGGAUUAGUUUGAUGUAGAUAACAAAUUUUGAGGCUGUGAUCCUUUGAAAAAAAAAAAUUGUUUCAGCUUUACAGGUUGGAGAUAGAUGUAGGCUGCGUUGAAUGUUCGAUGAGAACUGAUGCAAAAAAGUUGGAGUGGGUUCGACCUCAGACUUCCACUUCGUUGAAUGAGAUAGCUUGACCAACAUAUAUGACCUUCCAAGAAGUGGAUGCAAACAGACUGAAACAAAUGAUCAGAUUUGAAAAAGUUUCUUGAGUUCAAAUGUUUGCCAUGAGCCCAUGAGGGUCUCUAAACCGCAAGUGAAAAGUCAAGACUGCUUUAUGCCAAGUUGGAAUCAAAUACAAGGCAUAUGAUCAUAUUUUGUGGUCAAAUUGUAGAAAGCUGUUACAUGUUACAGUGCAAGUAGAAAUAGCUGGUAUACAAAACAUCAGAAAAAUGAUUGACCAGACUAUUAGAUAAAUGAGCAACAUCAAAUCUCAGUGGGAACCACAACCCAGCUGAUAUGUGGUGACCAACACCGACACCUCUUUUCAGCAGACAGAUCAAAUGUAGCUAGGUUAGCCUAUAAGUAGAACAAUAUAUAUUUUUGACAAGCUGUGUCAACAGCAGUUGUAUUGUAUAACCUAUAAGUAGAACAAUAUAUAUUUUUGACAAGCUGUGUCAACAGCAGUUGUAUUGUAUAACCUAUAAGUAGAACAAUAUAUAUUUUUGA